AACGAAGGAGAGGGAAAGGUAAUGGAAGGAACAGGAAAGGAGGUUAGCUUAACCAAGAGGUUUAGAAUCCCAAUCCCAAAGCAGAUAAGGCAUGGAAGGAGGGUAUAAUCGCGCAGACCAGGGACUCGAACGAAACGCGCACCCUACUACCCGUGACGGCACCUGGAUCCUGCCUCCGUCCCGCCGUCGGCGAAGAUGCUGCGACCGUCCCGAGCUGCUCCCGUGGUAGUACCGGAAGGGUUCAGCUCCACGCGCCGGCGGCGGCAAUGGGUCCUCUUCCGCGGCCUCCUCAGGAGGGCCAACGGUCGCAGGGGGCAUCCUCAACGUCCGUUGGAGUUCUCCAAGCACCGUCGUCAAUGCGACAGGCACGGCCGCCUCAUGGGGAGGCUCUCUCCUCUCACCUCCCCAACGCCGCACCUACGGUUGGCCCUCUCCGGGAUGAAGCAAGAACUGCUGGAUACCCUCCGCAUGUUCCUCACCUCACGCAUACCACGGCCCCACGGCGAGCAAGAACUGCCCACGCUGCCCCAGCACGUCAUGAUACACGGAAUGAACAGGCGGUAGCUCGAGAUACCUCUGAGUAGUCAGGACGUCAGUAGAAGGUUGGGUUCUGUAUACUACCUGCUGUCACUACUUCUAAAGGUACUAAGGUCGUCACUACCAUCGUCACUAAUACUUGUACAUUCCCAGUUUGUGAAACGAGUCCUUCCGAAGAGUUCCCUACAACCACUUAGACCUCAAUGAGUACCGGCGAACGAGAAAGUCAUGGAGCUCAAACUAAGAGGUAAAACGGCACUUGGAAACUGACUAUUCUAAAGAUCGGAAAGUCGGUCUAAAGGUCCUAACUCCUGGGAAUCCUCAACACUAAAUAGUCGUGCCUCAACCUACUCGUAGCGAACCAUGGGUUAAAUAGCAUAGGGAUGACCUGGUUGUAAUUUUCUAAAUCUACGGACGAAAGAGUGAAAGGUAGUCGAAAGUUUAACGGGCGUUCCUCUAUUAGACACCCGAGGACUAUCGUGUGGUUUGUAUGGUGAGGGUCAAAAACCAAACCGAAGGAUGUUCAAAUCGUUGAGUCAGACCAGGAGUUGACUACCACUAACCUUUGACCGAUCGACGAAUUCUCGAGUACUUUCUUACAGGCUUCUCACAGAACACUUGUACUAAUUCAAGACUCACUGACUGACCAACUGAGGAAGGUUUAGACUACGUACAAUGGUGUUCUAAACUUCGAACCUACGUAUGUAGGUUGGCUACGGGGGAGUUGUGACUGGACGACCUUUUUCUCCAGCGCCGACAAAGGGGAAGAGUAGAGAAGGUGGCGGGGGAAAACUCUCAGCGAAUAGGGGCCGGCCCGGCUAGACUACGGAGCAAGCAGCCGCUACGACCGACCGCUACCAACUCCUCUCCACGGACCAAGAAGGUAUACAUAUAAUCUCAUCGUCAUCUGAAUCAAUCUGAACCGCAAUACGGUACCACACCGGAGUACGGUCAGCCCUAUGGACGACGAUCUGGAACACUCGUCUCAGACCACCACCAGCAGCAACAGAGGAUGGAGCGGAGGUACCACCUCCCCUGACCACCUGUAACCUAGACCGUCAUAGGGAGGGUUAUUCGAGUCAGACAGGUCGUAGAUCCUCGGUGCCACCAAGGAAGGAGACAAAGAACGGCAGCACCACUACCAUCGUCUUUCCACCUCUCUAGAGCGGAGCCGGAGGAGCACCACGACCCGGAGCGGCCUAGGCUCGAAGGCCGCAUCCACCACAAUAGGGGCGUAAAACCUUUCCCGAAGGCGAUAGAGCAACCUUCGACCACUACCCCUAGGACUCGAAUAAGCUACCACCUAGACUUCCUCGAUGCUGUGGCCAGAGGAGGUUGUUAGGUAGCUAAGGAGACCAGCUUCCCGCCGGUAUGAACAAGGAGGGUCGGUGCUACGGUCUUCCUUCCGUCACGACACGGUUUAACCUCAGACACCGAACGAUGUCUCCAGAGCGGCCUGGUUCACCAGACAGGGUCCGCAGCCGCUACUAACAUAGGUGACGCCGUGUCGCACCUGGGCUAGCGCAAAAGUCAAAAUACAAACCCCAGGAAAGAUAUUCUACGUCCCUAAACAAAAAUAAAAGUCGAAGAAAUCACAGGAACAACAUUCGAUAUUACAGAGAAGCAGUAUUAGUUACUUCACGACCCAGGAAGACCCGGGAACAUCACAAGUUUUUUUUUUUUUAGGUUGGCUGCUCGCGGGCCGACAAAAAA
rnacentral:rRNA from 1 species